rnacentral:rRNA from 1 species
CUACGGGUGGCUGCAGUGAGGAAUCUUGCGCAAUGGGGGAAACCCUGACGCAGCGACGCCGUGUGAGUGAAGAAGGCCUUCGGGUCGUAAAGCUCUGUCAAGUGGGAAUAAAGUCCUGCGAUAAAUAGUCGAAGGAUUUGAAGGUACCACUAGAGGAAGCACCGGCUAACUCCGUGCCAGCAGCCGCGGUAAUACGGAGGGUGCAAGCGUUAUUCGGAUUGAGUGGGCGUAAAGAGCGUGUAGGCGGUUAGGUUAGUCAGAUGUGAAAGCCUUCUGCUCAACGGAGGAAGUACAUCUGAAACUGCAUAACUUGAGUACGAGAGAGGAAAGUGGAAUUCCCAGUGUUGAGGUGAAAAUCGUAGAUAUUGGGAGGAACACCUGUGGCGAAGGCGACUUUCUGGACCGAUACUGACGCUGAGACGCGAAAGCGUGGGGAGCAAACAGGAUUAGAUACCCGAGUAGUC